GACGAACGCUGGCGGCGUGCUUAACACAUGCAAGUCGAACGGAAAGGCCCUGCUUUUGUGGGGUGCUCGAGUGGCGAACGGGUGAGUAACACGUGAGUAACCUGCCCUUGACUUUGGGAUAACUUCAGGAAACUGGGGCUAAUACCGGAUAGGAGCUCCUGCUGCAUGGUGGGGGUUGGAAAGUUUCGGCGGUUGGGGAUGGACUCGCGGCUUAUCAGCUUGUUGGUGGGGUAGUGGCUUACCAAGGCUUUGACGGGUAGCCGGCCUGAGAGGGUGACCGGGCGGAGGGGGGCGAAGAGGAGGCACGGACGGCUCCGGGAGGCAGCAGGGGGGCGUGGUGCAGGAGGGCCUGAGGCUUGAUGAAGCCUCGCGGCGGGGUGGAUGAGGGGCGGAGGGUAGUAGACAGAGCUGCACUGUCAAGGAGCGUGCGUGCCGGUGAGGGGAAAGGUCGCAGCGGCUAACUACGAG
rnacentral:rRNA from 1 species